GCCCGGGGAGGUGGUGGAAUCCUUCUGUCCACGUAUGCCUCCUGUCCAUGGAGGUGUUUCCUGGACGUGGCACUCAGUGCCAUGGUGUAGUUGACAUGGUGGUGUUCGGUUGUAGGUUGGACUCGAUGAUCUCAGAGGUCUUUUCCAACCUAAUUGAUUCUGUGAUUCUGUAUGUGGUGUUACCAAAUAAAGUGCUCCAAACCCCAAGUUCCAUGGCUUUAUUGUAGCUAUUCAUAAGGUGAUCAGAGCCUCUGUUUUGCAAGCACAUGGCUGGCUGGUCAUGAGCCAAGGCCUUGAUUUCAGUGGCGCAGAGUGGGAUCAGGGGCUGCACCAGUUUGUGUGCUCAGGAUUACUUGGGGAAGGGGCUGUGUGCGCUUGGACCACAACUUUGGAGGCAUCUGCAUGCUUUGCAGUCAAAAAUAGUAACAAGCCAAUGAUGCUGACAGUGGUCAGACUAGGAGUAACCAAACGACAUGAGAGGAUUUUAGUCCUGUGUGAUUCAAUCAGUGGAUCAAGUUCCACAGCAUUGACCCACCUCAUUAUUGAAAUACAUUUGGUUACCCUUUGUAGCACAUUCAACAGCUAGGUCAACUUCUAAUAGAAUGCUCAACAACUUUUCUUAUUUCUUUUUCAUCAUAGAUUUGUGCAAUAGCUUACUUAACUCCCAAAAAAAUGCCAACCCUUCACCGACACAAAGAAGAGAAAUUCUUCGUAAGCGCUGAAGGCAGGAAAGAACCUGUACAAAGUAUACAUGAUCCCCCUACGAGGGAACUCUGUUGUGAUGCCUUCAUAUGAUGAUGAAGACUGGUGUAAGAUUUUUCUUGUUUUGAGGAAAAGAAGAAAAUCUAUCUGUUGUUACUGUAAUAAUGCAGAGGUCAGUUAUGUUUGGGGUAGAUUCUGGCAGGCCAGAUUAUGUAUCAGAUUUUGGACACAAUUUCCAGAAAACAGUCCAAUUACAUUGAAUUUCAAAAUUAAGUCAUUGUAUAACUUGAUUUCUGCUGCAAAAAAUAGCAUGGGGCACUUUAACUACGAGUCCUCUAUUUUAAUGAACCCCAGAAGAAUGGUUGUUCAUUGCUCCUGUAAAUGCUGCAAGGCAAGAAGUAAAAAAAAGACUUUUAAAACUGAUUUGAGAGCUUUCCACCCUUUAAACAGCAGCAGCUUCAGACGAGCAGAAAAAAGGAUGAUCUCACAGGUUUGUGUUUGACUUGGCCAUAGAUAUGAGUACCUGAUACUGAGUGAAAGCUUUCAGAUGUGAUAGAAAUAAUCAAACACGGUAGUACACAAGCUGUCAGCUUGCUUAAGUAGAUAAAGUCAGUGCUGGUUUUCAAGGUCAGUCAUGAAGAAUGAUUUCUUUUUCUUUUAAUCUUGUGUAGAGAAUUACAAAUUUCAAAAUGAAAAAUUGGUUCCUCGGAAGAAAUAUUUUUAUCAUGUCUUUUAUCAUGUGCGUGAUUUUCUUCAGUGUUCUUUUUUCAGUCAGAAAGGACAGAACUUCAAGUUGCAGCCGCUAAGCUUGUUUGUUGAAGGUAGUGUCGUAUGAAAGAGUCGAUUUGCUCAGCUUUGCUUUGUGGUUGUUUACAGCUUGCUUGUGCAAGUGCUUUUGGUGCUUUGCCUGUUAUAAUCUACUAACCUGACCUCCUCCACCUUUUCUCUAGUACCUCUUAUGAUGGAUGAAGCUUUGGAUUAUCUAGGAAAAAGACAGAAGCGAGACUUAUGAAGUCAUAGUGGCUAAUGAUGGCAGUAAAGAUCAAACUACAAAGGUUGCAAUGGAGUACUGCAAGAAAUAUGGAAGUGACAAAGUGGCGUUUGACGUGGAACUUCUUUAUAUAGCCCAGCGCUUGAAAAUACCUAUAGCAGAAGUUGCUGUUACAACUGGACUGAAAUAGAAGAAUUCUCAGCUGUUAAGGCCUCCUCUGGGGCACCAUCUCUUCUGAAGAUGUGAUGUUCUUUCAGACCCGUAGGGAGGUCUCUGACACUGGGUUACUGGAAAGUAUAGCUCCAUGCAUAUUUUGUCAUAGCAAAGCCAGCUGAAGAGGUUCUAAGUUAGUAGAAGUUUGGAGCUGGCUGCAGAUGGGCAGGGAUCUUCUUUUUAUACGACUGCGAUAUAUGACUGGUGCCUGGCAGCUUGAAAGAAGAAAAUAUAAUUAGGUUAUUUACAUUUUCCAAAUAUAUUAUUAUAUUUAAUGGAACAUGAGAACAGUUUCAAUCAAGUGAAGUAGUGAUGAAAGCUGAGGUAAUUUGUCAUUGCUCCUCCUCUUGUAUGUUUCAUUUUUGCAGCAUGUGUGUGUUUUGUAAGAUUGCCGGCAGGGAAUUUGUACAUUUUUAAAAGAGGAAGCAUUUCAAAAAAGAUUUUCUUACCUAGUAAUCAGUUUUUAUUUUAUUAAAUAGUAGCUUUAGCAUGUCUUAUAAAUUAAUUCAAAUAAAUAUAUCUGCUUUUGUCUCAUCACACUUCUGGAAUUUCCAUAUACGUAUUAAAAAGAGGCACUCUAUUCUACAUUGUGCAAUGUUGUGUCAUGAAUGACCUCAACCAUUUGUUUCUGUGAUAUCUGGAAAUUUUAGGCCAUAUUGCAACUUGAAAUUAUCAUUCAUGGUUCACAUUGAUGCAUGUUUAGAUUCAAUGUUAUGGGAAACAUUAAUGGAUUUUACUGAGUUAUAACAGCAAUGUUCUUAAGGUUGUUCUCAGGACUUUUCAGUAGUCUCUCUUAAAAUUCCAAAUGUUUUUGUCUGAAGCUGAAAUAGUUUUCCUGAGAUCAAACUGCAGAUCAUGUGCAGACUGUAGAAGGUCCAAGACCAAGCACAUUUAGUUUUAAAAUGUUGUCUUUUAUAAAUGUGUUUUGUUCAUGUGUACUAAUUAUUCCUGCCUACUCAAGGCUAGAAGUCCUUGACAUCUACAGGUCUGAAGUGAAGAGGGUAUGGAAAGCUAGUUCAGAGCAUGCAAAAAUGAGACCCAGUGUACACUGGGGGGGCUGUGCAUUAGCAAUGCCAAUCUGAUGUUGUCACACUUCAAAUGAGAUCAGAGAGGAAGGGAGGGGUCUUGAGUUUUUCAUAGUAAUGUCAUACUAUGUUACAGUACAGUAACCUAGUUUCAUUUGCGCUUUCAAAAUAGUUGUGGGUUGCCAACAAACUAAGCCAGUCUGUCUUUCAGAAACAUGUACAAAUUUCAACAGAUGUAAAGAAUGAAUGGUAUAUGGUUGUACUUUGACAUGGAAAUUCACUGGUGAUUUUUCUUAUUCUUUCUGUAAUAUUGACUUGAAUUUUGUUCCUGUUAGGGUUACCACAGUUUUCUAUCAAGUGCUGAAAUAAACUCUCAAAAAAUAUA